rnacentral:misc_RNA from 1 species
GCAGAAGGAUCAUUAGUGAAGAUUUGGGCAGGCCAUACGGACGCCAAAAAGUGUCCCUGGCCGCCUACACCCACUAUACACCCACAAACCCGUGUGCACUGUCUUGGAGAAAGGCUUCAGAGAAGUUUUUUGUGGCCUCUCUUGGUGUCUUUCUUCGCUACAAACUCGAAUGGUUAGUAUGAACGUGGAACUUGGUUGGACCGUCACUGGCCAACAAACUAUACACAACUUUCGACAACGGAUCUCUUGGUUCUCCCA